CAGGGGAACAUCCCGUUGGGCUACGAGUGCGAGUGCGACCCCGGGUGGUCUCGGCCCAACUUCACCUUCCCUCCCCCCUUGCCGCCACACCUGUUUCUGCCCUGCGCCGUCCCCACCUGCCUAUCGAUAUCGGAGUUCACCUGCUACAGGCCCAAGCCGCCAAAUCCCGCCAACGCAACCGUACUUGACCCCUGCUCAUACACUGACUGUGGCUCGGAAGGCACGUGCGUGAGCGGAGAGGGCCGGCAGUACCGGUGCCAGUGCAACCCAGGCGCAACCAAUGUGGAAGGCGACCCUACCCGCCCUUGCAUCACCUGUGCCACCGACGACAAGGGCUGCCCGGUUUCCACCCCUACGACGACACCGGCG